UACAGAGGGGGGCAAGCGUUAUUCGGAAUUAUUGGGCGUAAAGGGCGCGUAGGCGGCUUUGCAAGUGACGGGUGAAAUCCCUCGGCUUAACCGAGGAACUGCCUGUCAGACUGCAUGGCUUGAGACCGGGAGAGGUGAGUGGAAUUCCCAGUGUAGCGGUGAAAUGCGUAGAUAUUGGGAGGAACACCUAUGGCGAAGGCAGCUCGCUGGGACGGUACUGACGCUGGAGACGCGAAAGCGUGGGGAGCGAACAGG
rnacentral:rRNA from 1 species